rnacentral:rRNA from 1 species
GUCCACGCUGUAAACGAUGAAUGCUAGGUGUAGGGAGCAAUCUUCUGUGCCGCAGUUAACACAAUAAGCAUUCCACCUGGGGAGUACGGCCGCAAGGUUGAACUCAAAGGAAUUGACGGGAGCCCGCACAAGCAGUGGAGUAUGUGGUUUAAUUCGAAGCAACGCGAAGAACCUUACCUGAACUUGACAUCCUAAGAAUUCGGCUGUAAUGGCUGAAGUGCCCUUCGGGGAACUUAGAGACAGGUGGUGCAUGGUUGUCGU